rfam:Drosophila virilis strain TSC#15010-1051.87 Ctg01_16827, whole genome shotgun sequence.
UCACUUUUCGUGUUCGAUGUUUGAACUUGGAUUUUUUUUAUAUACACAAAUCUGUUCAUUCCUCGACACUAGAAGUUU